CUGCUCGCUUCGGCAGCACAUAUACUAAAAUCGGAAUGACACAGAGAAGAUUAGCACGGCCCCUGCGCAAAGAACUUAGUUUUACAGUGAGAAACAAGUGUUUU